rnacentral:rRNA from 1 species
UGGUGGCUAUACCGGACGGGAAACACCGCUUCCCAUUCCGAACAGCGAAGUUAAGCCGUCCAGGGCCGAUGGUACUGCCCAUAUGGGUGGGAGAGUAGGUCGCUGCC